CUAGAAGCCUGGUAAAAGACAGUUGUGGCUAGAAGGGAUGCAGCAAAAACCGGAAGCUAACAGUAAAUUAAAUUUUCUACCUAUUAGAGUCUGUUUUAUUAACGUCUACACCUACCUCAACCCUAAACCUACCCCUUACAAUGAUGCAAAAACAGUAAUUAUUGUUGUGCAGUGUGUGUAUCCUUUCUAGUCUUAGUCAUAAAAGACCAUUGGUUAAAAUAAAUUGAGUUGGUAUAAUUAGUUAAGGCUGGAGCUAUGGAUUACUGAGAAGCCUUUAAAGACUCUAAUUUUUGACUUUUCAACAAGAAAGGAGACAGAAAGAGUGUUCGAGGGUGAAACAGUUCAUGUGGCAUUUUGAGUGAAAUUGUGCUACAGUAUAUUACAGUAUAUUAUAGAUUUUCAAGGUAAAUAAAACAGAUUAUUGGAGCAAUAUUUACAUAUUACACACAUUACUUGUAAAAUUUCAAGCAAUUUUUUUUACUGAAAUAAAUGCUACAAAUCUUCAUUCUUGGCCCCUUAAGGCUUGUCUGAAAUAGGUUUUUUUUUUUUUUUUUUUUUUUGAAGACUUCUGACACUCAAUUAGUCCUUCAGCAAACAUAUUCUACUCUUCAAUAGGCUCCACCACUAUAUUAAUCUAUCUAUUUUAAUAUCUCACCAACAUGAAUGUUGCUCCCUUUAUGACCUUCUGAAGAGACUGUAACACUAGAACAGUAUGGUCUCUUAUGAAUUACAGAAGCUGUGCAGCUUUUAAACUGUGUUGCACAUUUCACAUUACCACACCCACAAUAUUAGUACACAAUGGAACUUCCCUCAUGUGCAUUCUGGAUACCAACACAGAUCCAUUCACACUAUAAAACAAUAUUCAGGUACAGUUUUCUAAAUCUAACAGUAACAGAAAUACAAACUACAUCUGGACUGCCAACAUGGAGAGAGAGAUGCUACUCUUGAUUCUCAUUGUAGUUACAGGUGGAUUUGCAGACAAAAUUGAACCAAGAGAAGGAGAUAGUAAUUUAAUCAAGGAAGAAGGAGAAUUUGUGACACUGAGCUGCACAUAUGAUGUGGGCAGCAAUAAUGUUUGGCUUUACUGGUACAGACAGUAUCCAAAUGGAGAACCUCGGUUUUUGCUGCUCAAAGGUGCUCGUUUAGAGACCUAUGAGAAUAUAGCAGACAAACGGUUUCGGUCGACUACAUCCCAAUCAUCCACUGAACUCAUUAUUGAGAAAGCAGCUCUGUCAGAUUCUGCUCUGUAUUAUUGUGCUCUUCGAGUGGCCCAGUGAUACAAAAUACCAGAGAAGCUUUACAAAAACACAGAUAAAAAAAUGUGCUUUGAACAGUGUGUAAUCAAACAGCAUCAGACCACAAGGUUUUUUUAUUUAUUUUUUUGAAAACCACAGCUCUAAAAAUUAGUAUGUGGCAACACCUGUGAAUUUAGGAGAAUAUGAAAGGGUAUACAUAGGGGGCAUGUGAAACUAUCUCUUAUCAUUU
ensembl:lncRNA